rnacentral:misc_RNA from 1 species
GAUGAAGAACGCAGCGAAAUGCGAUAAGUAAUGUGAAUUGCAGAAUUCAGUGAAUCAUCGAAUCUUUGAACGCACAUUGCGCCCGCCAGUAUUCUGGCGGGCAUGCCUGUUCGAGCGUCAUUACAACCCUCAGGCCCCCGGGCCUGGCGUUGGGGAUCGGCGGAGCCCCUCGUGGGCACACGCCGUCCCCCAAAUGCAGUGGCGGUCCCGCCGCAGCUUCCAUCGCGUAGUAGCUAACACCUCGCGACUGGAGAGCGGCGCGGCCACGCCGUAAAACACCCAACUCUUCUGAAGUUGACCUCGAAUCAGGUAGGAAUACCCGCUGAACUUAAGCAUAUCAAUAAGCGGAGGA